rnacentral:rRNA from 1 species
GACGAACGCUGGCGGCGUGCUUAACACAUGCAAGUCGAACGGAAAGGCCCUGCUUUUGUGGGGUGCUCGAGUGGCGAACGGGUGAGUAACACGUGAGUAACCUGCCCUUGACUUUGGGAUAACUUCAGGAAACUGGGGCUAAUACCGGAUAGGAGCUCCUGCUGCAUGGUGGGGGUUGGAAAGUUUCGGCGGUUGGGGAUGGACUCGCGGCUUAUCAGCUUGUUGGUGGGGUAGUGGCUUACCAAGGCUUUGACGGGUAGCCGGCCUGAGAGGGUGACCGGCAAAAUUGGGACUGAGAUACGGCCCAGACUCCUACGGGAGGAAGCAGUGGGGAAUAUUGCACAAUGGGCGGAAGCCUGAUGCAGCAACGCCGCGUGCGGGAUGACGGCCUUCGGGUUGUAAACCGCUUUCGCCUGUGACGAAGCGUGAGUGACGGUAAUGGGUAAAGAAGCACCGGCUAACUACGUG